AAGGUUGAGCCACCUCCCAUGCCAAAGGUUGAACCACCACCCACCACUAAGGUUGAGCCACCACCCACCCCUAAGGCCGAGCCACCACCCACACCAAAGGUUAAACCACCUCCCACGCCAAAGGCCGAGGCGCCAAAGGUCCAACCACCACCCACCCCUAAGGCUGAGCCACCACCUACCCCUAAGGAUGAGCCACCUCCCAUGGCAAAGGUUGAACCACCACCCACCCCUAAAGCCGAGCCACCACCCACCCCAAAGGCUGAGCCACCACCCGAGCCAAAGGCCGAGGCACCAAAGAUCCAAACACCACCCAUCCCUAAGGCUGAGCCACCACCUACCCCUAAGGCUGAGCCACCUACGACGCCAAAGGUUGAGCCGCCACCUGAGCCAAAGGCCGAGCCACCUCCUACACCUAAAGCUGAGCCACCUUUUGCACCUAAAGCUGAUCCACCUCCCGCACCUAAAGCGGAGCCACCUCCAAUAGCUAAGCCGGAACCUCCUCAAACAC
rnacentral:lncRNA from 1 species